UGAGUAACACGUGGGUGAUCUGCCCUGCACUUUGGGAUAAGCCUGGGAAACUGGGUCUAAUACCGAAUAGGACCGCGCUCUUCAUGGGGUGUGGUGGAAAGCUUUUGCGGUGUGGGAUGGGCCCGCGGCCUAUCAGCUUGUUGGUGGGGUAAUGGCCUACCAAGGCGACGACGGGUAGCCGGCCUGAGAGGGUGACCGGCCACACUGGGACUGAGAUACGGCCCAGACUCCUACGGGAGGCAGCAGUGGGGAAUAUUGCACAAUGGGCGCAAGCCUGAUGCAGCGACGCCGCGUGAGGGAUGACGGCCUUCGGGUUGUAAACCUCUUUCAAUAGGGACGAAGCGCAAGUGACGGUACCUAUAGAAGAAGGACCGGCCAACUACGUGCCAGCAGCCGCGGUAAUACGUAGGGUCCGAGCGUUGUCCGGAAUUACUGGGCGUAAAGAGCUCGUAGGUGGUUUGUCGCGUUGUUCGUGAAAACUCACAGCUUAACUGUGGGCGUGCGGGCGAUACGGGCAGACUAGAGUACUGCAGGGGAGACUGGAAUUCCUGGUGUAGCGGUGGAAUGCGCAGAUAUCAGGAGGAACACCGGUGGCGAAGGCGGGUCUCUGGGCAGUAACUGACGCUGAGGAGCGAAAGCGUGGGGAGCGAACAGGAUUAGAUACCCUGGUAGUCCACGCCGUAAACGGUGGGUACUAGGUGUGGGUUUCCUUCCUUGGGAUCCGUGCCGUAGCUAACGCAUUAAGUACCCCGCCUGGGGGAGUACGGCCGCAAGGCUAAAACUCAAAAGGAAUUGACGGGGGGCCCGCACAA
rnacentral:rRNA from 1 species